UACGAAGGGGGCUAGCGUUGCUCGGAAUCACUGGGCGUAAAGGGUGCGUAGGCGGGUCUUUAAGUCAGGGGUGAAAUCCUGGAGCUCAACUCCAGAACUGCCUUUGAUACUGAGGAUCUUGAGUUCGGGAGAGGUGAGUGGAACUGCGAGUGUAGAGGUGAAAUUCGUAGAUAUUCGCAAGAACACCAGUGGCGAAGGCGACUCGACUGGCCCGAGUACCUGACGCUGAGGCA
rnacentral:rRNA from 1 species